CCGCCAGGGCUCGCCCCCCGCCCAGCUCUGGACGUUGGAGCCGCAAGUGAAGUCCGGGAAGGGCUGGACGUGCGCGGCCGCGCGCGCCCUCCCAACUGUGCGCCCAGUGGGCGAGCCUUAUACGACGCCGGAUCCAGCCAGGGGACGCCCUGUCCCCGCCAGGGACCCUAGGAACGCGGCCCUGGGAGAGGGAAGAUCACAUACCCAAAUCAGCAGGGGUACAUCCCCACCCUGGCCCAGCAGCAAAUCCCUUCCAGGGAGCCAGGAUCACCACAGCUUUUUUGGAGACACCCUAUAAACGUGGCUGAAGGACCUGAUGGGCCACAGCGGGUGCUUUGGGGACCUGAUGGAAAUUUCAAAGAUUUGGAAGUCUGGGAGCAGAGUGGCCCGAUUUGUGUGGAGAGCCUUUUAGUUGCUUGGGGAAUCGGACGGCCAGUUAACAUACAAGAUGCUCAGUUAAAUUGGAAUAUCAGGAAGCACAGAAUGUGGGGGACCAGGUCAGGAGACCGGAGAGCCGGGUGCAGGUGACUGUGCUCCCUGGUCCGUGGCAUAGAUGGGAGGAAGGAGGAAGCCGAGGAGGGGAGUGAAAUAGGAAGAUUCCGGGGAGAUUUUGGAGGAACACCCGCAUGGUUUGCUGAUGGAUUGGGUGUGGGUGGAUGACCCAGUAUUGGGCUUUUACCCUGAGUGAGGUGGGGGAGCCCCGGAGGUGCUGUGAGUGGAGAAGGGAUGUGACUUGGGUAGGAGGUUCACAGACCCAGCCUGGGGACUCAACUACCAUCUGUCCUCAUAAAUGGCCCCAGCCCGGGUCCCCGCCCUCCUGGAACUGCUGACCUUUGCAGCUGGGUUAUUCUCUGUGGGGGACCAUCCUGGGCACUGUGGGGUGUGGAGCUGCAUCUCUGGCCCCCCACCCACUGGAUGCCAGGAGUGUCCCCUGCUCCCCUCAACUGGGACAACCAGACUUUGCCAGCAUCCUCUGGAGGGCAGAGUCGCUCCCAGUUGGGGAUCCCUGGUCUUGGCACUGUAAGAGCCAGCCAACUGAUGGGUCUGCGGUGCUAAGCGGGGCAGGGUCCUGGAAGGUUUUGUCAAUCGGGGAGGCUUUGUCCUCUGCUGGUAUUGACUGAUCUUUCCUGGGAUGGGACAAAUGGCUGCCCGCACGGACGGAGCUUGGCAAGGUUCAGGCUACAGGCUACCCACGCCCGGACUGAUCUGAAGACCACCUGUGCAAGGCAAAGGAGGGACCUGCCAUAGAGGCUGAUAAAACUUUUAAUAUUUAGACGUUUGGGCAUGUGAUUCUGACGAUUCGAGCUCCUGGGAAACGCUGCCCGCGUCCCGCAGCCCGCAGCUGUCCGAGUCCGCGGGGGCGCUGGUGAUGAUUAUGGGCACCUUGACCUUGACGCUACUCAGGGACCAGGGCAGGUGGACGGUGCUGACCAGCUCGUAGCGGGUGUUCAUGAUCUCGCUGUCCUGCGUCCCGCCGCUCACGGACAGCACCGGCGGGAGGUGGAAAGUGCUGACGAUCUUGGUGGUGUUGAAGGGUGUGAUCUGGGUGUUGGCCUCCUGCCGAAGCAGCUCGCUGCUGUCCACCCUGGAGCGCCGCUCCGCGUUGGGCGUGAAGCCCUCGUACUGCACGUGGGCGUAGAGGGCGAAGAUGACCGUCUUGAUGCACUUGCUGGUCUGGUUGUUGAUUUCCGUGGUGAAAAUGACCCUCUCCCCCGGCGCGAAGGUAUUUUUUUCCAUCUGGAUCUGCAGGCAGAUGGUGCCCUGGCUGCAGCAGUUGUAGGAGAUCUUUUUCUCAGCCUCCACGAACAGAGGAUUCUAAAAGAGGUGGGGGAGGGAUGGAAAACUGUGAGGGAUCUCGGCCACAAGAUCCACUUGCUCAUCUAACAGUCCACCAGAGCCGUGAGCGUGAGCCUUUGGGACUCUCCUGGUAAGAGGCACUGGGAUGAAAUCUGGAGUCUUGGGGAUUUUGCAGCCCAAAAUCAUCUCUUAGCUUUUGCAUUUAAUCUAAGCCCUUUGCCAUGCUGAGCAUCAAUUUCCUUGUCUGUAAAAUAGACCUAAGAAUUUCACAAGACCCUGGCUUUAAUCCCAGCUCCAUAACUCACUUGCUGUGUGACCUUGAACUGGUGCCUUGACUUCUCUGAGCCUUAAUUUUCUGGAAGACAGGGAAUGUCUUAUAGUCUAAGCCCAAGACCUAGGGCUUACCCAAGUAGUUCAGACUUAAGGAGGAAAUAUGGGCUCUGAAUCAUCAAAACCGUAGAGUUGAAAUUUUGUAACGUAUUUAAAUAAAGGCUUCAGAAUGCAGCCUCUAUAUCAAUGGGUUAGCUGCUGGAUUGCAGAUAAAGUCACAUAUAUGUUAUAUUUAAUGUGUGGCUUGGGGAUCAUUUUGUUUUUUAUUUGUGGGUACUAGUUUAAAAGAUUUGAUUUGAGGGAAUUCCCUGGCGGUCCCAUAGCUAGGACG